CACCGGCAGCCCGAGUGAUGGCCGAUAUUAUUGGGCCUAAAGCGUCCGUAGCUGGCCGCGCAAGUUCGUCGGGAAAUCCACUCGCUUAACGAGUGGGCGUCCGGCGAAAACUGUGCGGCUUGGGACCGGAAGAUCCAAGGGGUACGUCCGGGGUAGGAGUGAAAUCCCGUAAUCCUGGACGGACCACCGAUGGCGAAAGCACCUUGGAAGGACGGAUCCGACAGUGAGGGACGAAAGCUAGGGUCUCGAACCGG
rnacentral:rRNA from 1 species